UGUAUUCCCGAUCUGCGUGGGAUCUGAUGCUCGAUUUGUUCCUGUUUCAGUACUAGUACAGUAUGUUUGCUUGCAAAAUUUUACAGUUUGGUUGCAAGCAAGCAAACUGAACUGAAUUUGCUUCCUUGCAAACUGAACUUAGUUUCUUGCAUAUUUCAAAAUGAGAAAUCUUAUUGUCAACUCUUAUGCUGGUAGGUCACUAUUGGAACUGGUUCAUUUGGGGUUGUAUUUAAGGUAAACUUCUGACCUUGGGGUUGUAUAAACUGGUCUAUGGUGAAACUGUACAUUCAGUAAAACUUCAUUGAAUUUGAAUUGGAUGUUGAAUGCCAUUUUUUGCAUAGUGUAAACUACAAGCAGUUUGCCAUGAAAUUCUAUUUAUUUUUCACUUUUAAGAAACAAUUACUGACCAGCAGCAGUAAUAUUUAUGCAAAGUUUACUGAAAUUUUGAGCAUCUACAGUUUACUGAAAUUUUGUGUGACUUGUCAAUGAUUAUGCAGCAAAUUAAACUUGUGUUUACUUAGACUUUCUUGUGAUCUUGUUCUGCAAAGUGGUUGAAGUACCUUCUUUUUCUACCCAUCUUCCUGAAGCCUAUAUUAAAUGCAUAAUUUAUACAAAUUAUUCUAUAAGAUUUGUAAAAGCACAAAUUUCACUAUGUAAGUAUGUUGUUUUAUUUGCCCUUUCUAGUAUUGAAAUUCAGGACGGGAAAGGUGAAGUUGGAACAUACUAGUGGGUAGUCUUUGCAUUACUGUUGCCAUUGCAUUUGUUUGGUUCUGACCUCAGUAGCAGUACACUAAUGAUGUUAGUCUUUGUGUUCACUCUUUUACAGGAGCGCCAGGACCAAUUUGAAGUGCAAAGCCAUGAAGCCAAGUGCAAAGCCGUGAUGCUAGAGAUUUGUUUGUUCUGUUUGACUGUAAUAGGUUGUAGAGAUUGUAACAUUGUAAAAAAUUUAGGGUUAUUUGAUAAAUUACGUUUCUUCUGUUUUGUUUGAAAUAGUGAUUUAAAAAUGUGUGAAAUGGAAACCUGAUUAGUGGGAUCCACUUACCAAAGUAAUCUGAACAAUGUUGAAAUAUCUGAGCAAUGUUGAAAUAUCUGAUGUGUGGGACCAAUGUAUGAGAUUAUGAUAUGUGGGGCUUGUCUGACUAGUGGGCCCAGCUCCAAUAUAUAUGGCUGAAACUAGAAAAUCGAUGGAUUAAAAAGGCCACGGCCCAACAAUAAAAAAGGAUGCAAUAUUGGGUUUGGCCCAUGAACCCAACCAAAAAUUGACACAAAAAAAC
rnacentral:lncRNA from 1 species